rnacentral:lncRNA from 1 species
GUAACUUAUCGUACACCUUUUUCUCUUCGCUGGUCAGUGGACCAUUGAAGUUGAUGUGCGGAGGAGGAGGUGGUAGUGUGAGAGAAAGAAAGGCCACCAGCUUGGUUGUCUUUGCCAGAAGUUUGUUUAGAUGUGGUGAGGAACCGGAUGAACUAAUAGUGGUUUUCAGAUUCUGAGAGAGGGUUUUCAUUCUUAAAUAACUUAUAUGGUCAGUCGUUUCGAGGAGAAUGUCAAAAUGCAUUAAAGGCCUUUUAGGGUGUUUGACCGAUCUUCUCUGGUUUUGGUGUCUUUUUGCAUGGGAAGUAGAAAUUGAAUUUUCUCGGAAAUGUGCAUUCCUGAGUUUGUAUGAUCAAAGGUUGUACUGGGGAAAGGUUGAUGUGUUUGAUCUUCAGCUGCCCACGAACCCUUGCCGAGGGAUCAAGCCUAGCAUAGCUAUAUUGUUUUUAUGUCUGAUUAUGACGUCGUGAUUUUAAUGGUCGUAUUAUUGGGUGAAGCGAGAAUUUGCGAGUUGAAAAAUUAAUCAUAAUUUUAUUGGACCUCAACUCUUUUAUUUAUAGAAGUUACAAAUUUUCUUAUACUUUAGCUUCUUCCUCUGAUAUUGACUAGUGGAAGGCUAGACAGAGAAGAGCGUCCUCACAACCUCCAGCUUGUAACGUAGGUAGUCGUGAAUGUUGUCCAUCUUGUAAGGUUUGAGGUUGUCUCCAUUUCGGUAAAGGAUGUAAUCCGAGAUUGUGUUUACAUAAGGGGGUAAUUUAUCGUACACCUUUUUCUCUCCGCUGGUCAGUGGACCAUUGAAGUUGAUGGGCGGAGGAGGAGGUGGUAGUGUGAGAGAAGGAAAGGCCAGAAACUUGGUUGUCUCUAUCAGAAGUUCGUUUGGAUAUGGUGAGGAACCGGAUGGACUAAUAGUGGUUUUCAGAUUCUAAGAGAGGUUUUUCAUUAUUAAAUAAUUUAUAUGGGUUGUCAGUAUUUUCGAAGAGAAUGU